GGUAGCGUUUACUUGCCUUCCCAGCAGCUCCUUCAGUUCUUCUGUGUUAAUCUCGCGGCCAGCGUGCCGCGCGGAGCGUUGCCAUGGUAACCCGUGGCAACGCUCUGAUGGCCGCGGGUCUCGAGAGAUUUACACAGGGGAGCUGGAGGAGCUGCUGGGAAGGUAAGUAAAUGCUACC